rnacentral:rRNA from 1 species
UACGGAGGGUGCAAGCGUUAUCCGGAUUCACUGGGUUUAAAGGGAGCGUAGGUGGGCUUGUAAGUCAGUGGUGAAAUCUCCGUGCUUAACACGGAAACUGCCAUUGAUACUAUAGGUCUUGAAUUUUCUGGAGGUUAGCGGAAUAUGUCAUGUAGCGGUGAAAUGCUUAGAUAUGACAUAGAACACCAAUGGCGAAGGCAGCUUGCUGGGCUACUCCUGACACUGAGGUACGAAAGCGUGGGGAGCGAACAGG